rnacentral:rRNA from 1 species
GAUCUGGCUCAGAACGAACGCUGGCGGCAGGCUUAACACAUGCAAGUUGAACGGGAUUUGUGUGGUGCCUGCACCAUAUAAUGAGAGUAGCGCACUGGUGAGUAACACGUGGGAACGUGCCUUUUAGUGGGGGAUAACAUCUGGAAACGGAUGCUAAUACCGCAUACGCCCUGAGGGGGAAAGAUUUAUUGCUAAGAGGUCGGCCCGCGGUAGAUUAGGCAGUUGGUGGGGUAAAGGCCUACCAAACCUACG